CUUGAGACCCUAGUUAAGCCUUAACAUCACAGACCUCAAGUGAUGGGAAAAAGCCGUCCUUUUUAACUCUCUUAUUUUGAACAGGCGAACACCACAGUACAAUUCAUAUCGGGUGAUAAUUGUACAGGGUGCAUCGGGCUAUGUCGAACAGGUAUAGGUGUGUUUGUGUUGGUAAGUUCAGGACGAUGGUGAGACGGCCUUUGUGGGAGUGAGAUAAACUCACGCACACCGAGCCCGACCGGCCAAGAUCCUGCGCAAACUAAAAGCGAUGACGUCCGUGGUGUCCAACUGUGAUUUUACCAUCGACACUACCUGGUCAACGGUGACGGUUUUAGCUAACUUAGACAGAUGUAGCCACAUAUAGUUUGCUCUUGGUAGUUGUGACACGGUUGGGAUCGACGUGGUGGUGGUAUCGGUUCCUAUUAUUAUUGGUGGUAGUGAAGGGCGAUUUCUUUGGUGAGUAUUGUCGGUGUCUGUAUUUACAGGGUAUAGUGGAGCAUUGUCAACAACAAUGGCUUCCGUGGAUGCAACAACGUCACGGAACAACCUUCUACGCUUUCCACUCGGGAGGGCAUCUGGGGGCGAUACGUUGAAGCGUUCGCUAGGAGCUUGGUGAGCCGCGGCAAAACUGGCAAAGCCCUCACGGAUUUCGUGCAUCACAGGCGGGACUAAAGCAGCUUUCAUCACCUCGACAGCGGCAGUAAGAGCCGCCUGGAAGCCGACCUGCAUACCCGUUGUUUUAACUGCUUUACUAUGUGGGUUGCCAAGAGCAUUCGAACACCUUACACAGCUCCAAUGAAGAGAUGCCGUCCGUUUUACCUCUUCGAUCACAGUGAAAGUUGCCGUUGCAGAUAGAUGCCACAGGACUCAGGAACAAACGCAGGAAUACAGCAAAGUCAGGAAUGGUUGUGGCGAACAAUUGAAGGCAGGACUACCAGAGACAGCUUAUGUCACAGCUAAGCGGCAGUUUGACGAAAAUUAGGUCGAGACAACAAAAUAAUUCACGAAUUUACGCGGAGCACAGUGAGAAAACACACUCAGUCGUCAGCUGUCAACUGUCAACUGUGUUAUUUUAAAACUUGUUGGUGGAGGGUAUAUCAUAGUAUAUAUGUAGGAAAUAGGAGACAGUUGUCAGUAGUCAGACAAGGGAAGUGAGACGAGUGUCAAGGAAUGAAUUUAGGAUCACCCUGUGCUGAUGUCAAUCGAACUGACGACGCAGUAGGUUUAGCUAGAGCGAAACAUUCACGCGGGAGAAGCCAAGCGAAGCAGACGAAAGUGAAUAAGUGAACUGUAAAACCAUCUCUUUCCGCGUACCCUCUUUUCUUCUACGUUCUACAUGGGGGCUCAACCGGGAUGAGGCUAAGCAAAGUGAUGAGUUUACAGUUAUGAAAAGUUGCAUAAUGUCUUAAAGUUGAUAAAGUUGUUCAUGUCGUAAUGUUGAUAAAGUUGUAAAGUUGUUAAAGUCGUUCAAGUCGUAAAGUUAGUAAAGUUGUUAAGUUGCAGUAGUGGUUCGAAUUGGAAAAGUUGAAUUAGUUGGUGUUUCAUCCGAUGUGAAAGUGUGAAUUUGUGCCGAAAAGUUGACGUUGUGACGCAUAAAGGUUGUUAAAGUUGCGAUUGUGACGUUGUAAAGUGUGUUUAAAUAAAAGCUAAAGUUGUGCAAAACGUUAAUGAGAAAAUGGUGAACGCGUUGAUUGCAGCGAUGGUCGAAGACCAUACGCGGUUGGGUUUGGUGAAAAAAUGUGAAGAGCGUGAAUUAAGUACGAUCGGAACAAAAGAGGAGCUGGCCGCACGCGUCGUCGCGUAUGAUCGAGCUGAUGUAGCUGAUUUUGCGGAUGCUGAGUUGCCCACGGUUAACCGAGUGCAACCAUACUCCUUGCGCGAUGUCGAAGAUGGUGUUGAUGCAUUUGGCGCCGGAUCUACGCAAGUUGUGCGCGCAUGGAUCAGAAGUUUUGAGGAGAUUACGAUGGCUGGAGGGAAAGAGGAUCAGAAAUUUAUCAUGUGCCGUAAAAAGUUGACCGGAGUCGCACUUGGUUUUCUAAAUACGCUGAAAGGUGUGACGACAUAUGCAAAUCUACGUAGGGCGUUGAUUAACGAGUUUGCUCCAAGUGUGCGUGCAAGCGACAUACACAGGCAGCUAUCGACGCGUCGCAAGAAAAAAGUGGAGACCGUGAUAUAAUUUGUUUACGCCAUGCAGCAAAUUGCGCAGCAAAUCGAUUUAGACGAAGCCAGUCUCGUAGAAUAUGUGGCAGAUGGAAUAACUAACGACGAAAAGCAGAGGUCAAUGUUCUACGAGGCAAAUAAUAUUAACGAACUUAAGGAGAAAAUACGUUUGUUCGAGAGAGCGGCGAACAAGUUUCAACAGGAACGCCCAAAAGUCGUCGGGCAACGAAUUCCGGAUAAGUUAAAACAACGCCAUUGUUUCAAUUGUGGCAGCGCUUCUCAUCGAGUUAUCGAAUGUCCAACAAAACAAGAGGGUCCGACGUGUUUCAAAUGUGGAACAAAAGGACAUUGCGCAAAAGAUUGUACGACAGCGCAAGGAAGAAGACCGCAUUGUUACGCUUGGGGCGAAGUUGGGCAUGUUGCUGCACGAUGCCCGAACAACAGUAAUAAUAAUAGAGUUCAAACAAUGACGAGCUCAUUUCCAAUUGUGCGUGUGUCAGUUGGAAACCAGUUGUGCGAAGCGGUGAUCGAUACGUGCAGUGAUGUGACGCUGAUGCGCUGGGAUUUGUUCCUGGAAUAAAAACUCAAUUGUAACGAGUUGAAACCGUCUGCACGGGUAAUAAAAGGCUAUGGUGGAAAACAAAGCAACGUGUGUGGUGAGUUGACGAUCCGUGCUACCAUCGAUGAAGUUGAGGAGAUAAUUCGUUUCGUGGUGGUACCUUCGAAUUCUAUCGACACCAAAAUGCUGAUAGGAAUCGAUGUGCUCAAAAGGGUUAACUACGUUAUCACAAACGGUCAUGCAAAGAUAACAAAGCAACAGGAGGAAGAGGAAAACCCCACGAGUGUGAUGAUCGUUGGGUGUAUCGUAUAGUUUGUGAGAGUCAUCAAGAAAUAGACGCACCGUCAAAUUAUCGUCGCGUGAUUUGUGAUAUGGUGAAUAAUUAUGAACCAGCAAUGAUUUCUAACGUUGAAAGUGAGAUGAAAAUAUUAGUGAACAAAGAGGAAGUAGUGCGUACGUUGCCAAGAAGAAUAGCUCCGGUAGAGAAAGAGGUGGUAAGGAAACAAGUUCGCGAAUGGUUAAAUGACGGAAUAGUUCAGCCAUCGCGAAGCCCUUACGCUAGCGCAGUUGUGGUUGUACCGAAGAAGGAUGGAUCUCACCGUGUGUGUGUGGAUUAUCGUGAGAUGAAUAAGAGGAUCGUGCGGGACUCUUAUCCGAUGCCCAAUAUCGAAGACCAGAUUGAUCAGUUGGCAGAUGCUCGUGUGUACAGUGUAUUAGAUCUGAAAAAUUAGUAUUUUCACAUCAAGGUGGAGAAGGAAAGUCGCCAGUGCACAUCUUUCGUAACAACGGAUGGGCAGUAUGAGUUUUUACGUGCUCCGUUUGGAUUGUGUCUCAGCGGCAAUGCGUUUGGACGCUUCAUCGAUGCAGUACUUCAUGAGUUGAUCAUAGACGGCACCGUGAUGGCCUUCGUAGAUGACAUCAUCAUUCCGUCUCGAGACGAGGAGCAUGGUUUGGCGUCUUUGCGGCGAGUUUUAGAAGUGGCACAGCGGGCAGGACUUCACUUCAAUUGGAAAAAGUGUUCGUUCCUCAAACGGCGUGUGGAGUAUUUGGGGUAUACCGUCUAUGAAGGUAAGAUUGAACCUGCUCCCCAAAAAAUAGAAAAAGUUAAAUAUUAUCUGCAGCCACAAACGGUGAAACAGCUGCAGUGUUUUUGAAUUUGAUGAAGAGGCAAGAGCAGCUUUUGAAACGAUUAAAGAAAAAUUAGUGGAAUCUCCAGUAUUACACAUUUUCAAGGCGAGUUUGGAUACCGAAUUGCAUACUGAUGCGAGUAAAGAUGCUCUGGACGGCAUAUUGUUGCAGCGUUCUGAGGAGGAUGGUUUAUUACAUCCUUGCUAUUAUUAUAGUAGGUUGACUAAUAAGGCCGAGAAAAAUUAUCACUCAUUCGAAUUAGAAUCGUUAGCCGUUGUGGAAUCCAUAAAGAAGUUCAGGUGUUACUUGCUAGGUAAGAAAUUUAAAGUUGUGACCGAUUGUAUAGCGUUUAAACAAUCCUUAAACAAAAAAGUUCCCAAUGCACGAGUGAGUCGUUGGUUUGUAACGUUGUCCGAAUUUGAUUUUGAAGUAGAACAUCGUUCAGGUGAUGACGCUCUUUCAAGAGCAAACGUACUGAAAAUAUCGGCAGGUGUAUGUGAGAAAAUAAUACAAGGACAAUUGCGCGAUGAAGAUCUUACGGCAAUUAGGACGGCGCUUGAUCAGGGCGAAGAAAGAAAAGGUUUUUGUUUGGUAAAUGGAGUACUUUAUAAAAAUGAGAAUGCUCAUAACAAAAUAUGUGUACCUCGAGCAAUGAAGACGGGUAUGAUAAGAGAAGUACACGAACGAGGCCAUUUUGGGAUCAAGAAAAUGAAAGAACAACUAAUAGAGGAUUAUUUUAUUCCAGAAAUAGAAAAGAAGAUAAAAUAUUGUAUUGAUAACUGUGUCCGAUGCAUAGUGAAUGACAGAAAACGAGGCAGGGCAGAGGGAGAACUUCAUCGAAUACCGAAAGGAGAAGUUCCGUUGGAUACUUUUCAUGUUGAUCAUAUUGGCCCUAUGCCAUCUACCCGCAAAUGUUACAAUUACAUUCUUACCGUUGUCGAUGCGUUUACGAAGCAUGUUUGGCUAUUUGCUACCAAAACUACUAGUGCGGAAGAGGUUAUAAAAAAAUUGACGAUUAUAUCUGAUACGUUUAGAAAUCCGCCAAGGAUAAUUUGCGAUAGAGGAUCUGCUUUUACCUCUGGUUUAUUUACAAAAUUUUGCGAAGAAGCCAAUAUAGAAUUGCAUCACAAUGUUAGAGGAGUCCCACGAAGGAAUGGCCAAGUAGAGCGUGUACACCGCAUAAUUAUCCCUACAUUAGCGAAGUUGUCGUAUGAAAAUCCCGAAAAUUGGUUUAAGUUUGUAAAUAAUGUUCAAAAGGCAAUCUAACUGACGACGCAGUAGGUUUAGCUAGAGCGAAACAUUCACGCGGGAGAUGUCAAGCGAAGCAGACGAAAGUGAAUAAAGUGAACUGUAAAACCAUCUCUUUCCGCGUACCCUCUUUUCUUCUACGUUGCACAUAAAUAAUAUAUCAUAUAAUGUAUUUUGUAGAGGGUAAAGGUUAAGGAUGUAUUAAAUAACAUUUUCAAAGAGGGUAUAUCAUAAUAAAAAUAUAAAAUAAUUUUCAUUACACAGUUACAAGGGAAAGAUAUUUGUUUAAUCUACAGGCAACUUCAUUGAAGUUUUUUUAAUGAACAGAUCAGCACAAACUGUCGCAUGUACAUGCUUUUAAUAAUAAUUGUAAAAGUUAGUGACAAAACCAAGUGAUUCAUUUCAUGUUUGUUGAUAAAAGUAUCAAGUAUUAUGUAAACACAAUUAUUUUUGGUAAUUUGGACCUAUUACUACAUUUUAACGACAAUACCAAUCUUUAAACAAAUUAUCCAAUCUACCUGAGAUCCAUAAGUAGUGUAACAUCCAGUAACACAGUUAUAACUAAAAUUUUAGAAUAGUUGAUUGAUCGUAUGGUAUCUUUUGAUCAUUCCGUACAAACACUAAUCUCCAACAUCUAUUUUUUUUUCUUCUAAUACUACUCAAUGCGUUUCGCAUCCCAUACGAGGAUACAUCGAGGAAAAGCUAUCCCCUUACGUGACAACUGCGCUUACUACGGCAUUUCAUCCAGCCUCAACAGUUCCGCUUGUUUUUUAAAUAAGAGCUCUUUGGAACAUUGCUCAUAUCAAGGAUUUAUUUCAUAAUUCUAUAUAGUGCAUUUACACAACUCUAAGAACAUCUCCUGCAGGGUAUUUAUCUCCUCAAUGGACUCCACUGUGCAAAAGGUUGGCAAAGGGGUUUUAUCCGUGAGGUUCAAGCAGG